GAUGAACGCUGGCGGCGUGCCUAAUACAUGCAAGUCGAGCGAACGGACGAGAAGCUUGCUUUUCUGAUGUUAGCGGCGGACGGGUGAGUAACACGUGGAUAACCUACCUAUAAGACUGGGAUAACUUCGGGAAACCGGAGCUAAUACCGGAUAAUAUUUUGAACCGCAUGGUUCAAAAGUUAAAGACGGUCUUGCUGUCACUUAUAGAUGGAUCCGCGCUGCAUUAGCUAGUUGGUAAGGUAACGGCUUACCAAGGCAACGAUGCAUAGCCGACCUGAGAGGGUGAUCGGCCACACUGGAACUGAGACACGGUCCAGACUCCUACGGGAGGCAGCAGUAGGGAAUCUUCCGCAAUGGGCGAAAGCCUGACGGAGCAACGCCGCGUGAGUGAUGAAGGUCUUCGGAUCGUAAAACUCUGCUAUUAGGGAAGAACAUAUGUGUAAGUAACUGUGCACAUCUUGACGGUACCUAAUCAGAAAGCCACGGCUAACUACGUG
rnacentral:rRNA from 1 species